AGUAGAACGCUGAAGAGGGGAGCUUGCUCUUCUUGGAUGAGUUGCGAACGGGUGAGUAACGCGUAGGUAACCUGCCUUGUAUCGGGGGAUAACUAUUGGAAACGAUAGCUAAUACCGCAUAACAAUGGAUGACACAUGUCAUUUAUUUGAAAGGGGCAAUUGCUCCACUACAAGAUGGACCUGCGUUGUAUUAGCUAGUAGGUGAGGUAACGGCUCACCUAGGCGACGAUACAUAGCCGACCUGAGAGGGUGAUCGGCCACACUGGGACUGAGACACGGCCCAGACUCCUACGGGAGGCAGCAGUAGGGAAUCUUCGGCAAUGGGGGCAACCCUGACCGAGCAACGCCGCGUGAGUGAAGAAGGUUUUCGGAUCGUAAAGCUCUGUUGUAAGUCAAGAACGAGUGUGAGAGUGGAAAGUUCACACUGUGACGGUAGCUUACCAGAAAGGGACGGCUAACUACGUGCCAGCAGCCGCGGUAAUACGUAGGUCCCGAGCGUUGUCCGGAUUUAUUGGGCGUAAAGCGAGCGCAGGCGGUUUGAUAAGUCUGAAGUUAAAGGCUGUGGCUCAACCAUAGUUCGCUUUGGAAACUGUCAAACUUGAGUGCAGAAGGGGAGAGUGGAAUUCCAUGUGUAGCGGUGAAAUGCGUAGAUAUAUGGAG
rnacentral:rRNA from 1 species